rnacentral:rRNA from 1 species
UCCACGGGAGGCAGCAGUGAGGAAUAUUGGUCAAUGGACGCAAGUCUGAACCAGCCAUGCCGCGUGAAGGAAUAAGGCCCUAUGGGUCGUAAACUUCUUUUGUAUGUGAGCAAUAAGGUCCACGUGUGGUCCGAUGAGAGUAGCAUACGAAUAAGCAUCGGCUAACUCCGUGCCAGCAGCCGCGGUAAUACGGAGGAUGC